rnacentral:rRNA from 1 species
AUUGAACGCUGGCGGCAGGCUUAACACAUGCAAGUCGAGCGGGGUGAUGGUGCUUGCACUAUCACUUAGCGGCGGACGGGUGAGUAAUGCUUAGGAAUCUGCCUAUUAGUGGGGGACAACAUCUCGAAAGGGAUGCUAAUACCGCAUACGUCCUACGGGAGAAAGCAGGGGAUCACUUGUGACCUUGCGCUAAUAGAUGAGCCUAAGUCGGAUUAGCUAGUUGGUGGGGUAAAGGCCUACCAAGGCGACGAUCUGUAGCGGGUCUGAGAGGAUGAUCCGCCACACUGGGACUGAGACACGGCCCAGACUCCUACGGGAGGCAGCAGUGGGGAAUAUUGGACAAUGGGGGGAACCCUGAUCCAGGCAUGCCGCGUGUGUGAAGAAGGCCUUAUGGUUGUAAAGCACUUUAAGCGAGGAGGAGGCUCUUUUGGUUAAUACCCAAGAUGAGUGGACGUUACUCGCAGAAUAAGCACCGGCUAACUCUGUGCCAGCCGCCGCAGUAAAAC